UGAGGAAUAUUGGUCAAUGGUCUGACGACUGAACCAGCCAUGCCGCGUGAAGGUCACGGCCCUAUGGGUCUUAAACUUCUUUUGUAAGGGAGCAAUAAGGCGCACGUGUGCGUCGAUGAGAGUACCUUACGAAUAAGCAUCGGCUAACUCCGUGCCAGCAGCCGCGGUAAUACGGGGGAUGCAAGCGUUAUCCGGAUUUAUUGGGUUUAAAGGGUGCGUAGGCGGCGUCUUAAGUCAGCGGUGAAAUUUCGGAGCUCAACUUCGAACGUGCCGUUGAUACUGGGAUGCUAGAAUGCGGAUGCCGUGGGAGGAAUGUGUGGUGUAGCGGUGAAAUGCAUAGAUAUCACACAGAACACCGAUUGCGAAGGCAUCUCACGAAUCCGCUAUUGACGCUGAGGCACGAAAGCGUGGGGAUCAAACAGG
rnacentral:rRNA from 2 species